rnacentral:rRNA from 1 species
AUGGAUAUGACAGUGAAGUACUUUGAGAGGAGGAAGGUCGAGAAUCCAGAGUUUUUCUUUGCGAAGCAAAAAGAUCUUGCAACGAACUCUGUCACUGCAUUGUUUUGGGUUGAUGGGAGGACAAGGGCGUUGUACCCGAAAUAUAAAGAUUGUGUGUUCUUUGACACAACUUUCUGCACUAACAGAUACAACAUGCCCUUUGGUCCUAUAGUUAGUAUCAACAACCACCUCCAAACCAUUUCACUCGGGUGUGCUUUGUUGCCGGAUGAGACUAUUGAAACGUUCAAGUGGGUCUUUGAGCAAUGGAUGGUUGCAAUGGACAAUGAGCAUCCAAAGAACAUAAUGACUGACCAGGACCAAGCAAUGGCAACAGCUAUAGAGCAGGUGCUCCCAAAUACUUGCCAUAGAUGUUGCAAGUUUCAUGUGUUUGGCAACGCGCGUUCUAAGUUGGGGAGGCUGCUUAGAGAUGAGGCAUUUGCAGAUGUGUUCUACACUUGUAUCAACAACUCUGAAACGGUUGAAGAAUUUGAGGAAACAUGA